AUUGAACGCUGGCGGCAUGCUUUACACAUGCAAGUCGAACGGCAGCACGGGUGCUUGCAUCUGGUGGCGAGUGGCGGACGGGUGAGUAAUACAUCGGAACGUGUCCUGAAGUGGGGGAUAACGCAUCGAAAGAUGUGCUAAUACCGCAUAUACUCUGAGGAGGAAAGUAGGGGAUCGAAAGACCUUAUGCUUUUGGAGCGGCCGAUGUCGAUUAGCUAGUUGGUAGGGUAAUGGCCUACCAAGGCGACGAUCAGUAGUUGGUCUGAGAGGACGACCAGCCACACUGGGACUGAGACACGGCCCAGACUCCUACGGGAGGCAGCAGUGGGGAAUUUUGGACAAUGGGCGCAAGCCCGAUCCAGCAAUGCCGCGUGAGUGAAGAAGGCCUUAGGGUUGUAAAGCUCUUUUACCAGGGACGAUAAUGACGGUACCUGGAGAAUAAG
rnacentral:rRNA from 1 species